CCCUUAGAUGUUCUGGGCCGCACGCGCGCUACACUGACGAAUGCAACGAGCUUAUAACCUUGGCCGAAAGGUCUGGGUAAUCUCCAAAUUUCGUCGUGAUUGGGAUAGACCUUUGCAAUUAUGGGUCUUCAACGAGGAAUUCCUAGUAAACGCAAGUCAUCAGCUUGCAUUGAUUACGUCCCUGCCCUUUGUACACACCGCCCGUCGCACCUACCGAUUGAAUGGUCCGGUGAAAUCUCGGGACGGCGGCUUGGUCGCUUGCGUCCGACUGCUGAAACUUGAUUAAACCAUAUCAUUUAGAGGAAGGUGAAGUCGUANCA
rnacentral:rRNA from 1 species